GCAUGUGAAGUGCAUUGCACAAAGCCUUCAUAUAAAAGGGAGUUAUCUUCAAGUCUCAGCUAUCCCUUUAACAAGGCUCACUCUGCUUUUCUCUUUUUCCAAGGAAAAACACACGUUGUAAAAUAAGCAUUCUUCAAAGACAACCUGAAGACGUCUGGGAAUUCCAAAGGCUGAAAACUCCAUGAGUUCAUAGAAGCUUUCACUAAUUCCACAGAUUUAAAGACAAAAGAGAGUCAACUGUGUGCCCAAACUCAUUUCUGAUGAUUUCUUCCAUCCUACCCUUUCUGCCUCUCUGGGGGUGGCUGUGCCUGUAAAAAACAUUGAAGUUGUCAGGAACAGAGUCUGCUUUCAAGACUGGAAUGUCAGAGUAGAGACUUCUGUUCCUCAGACCAGAAGAGACUUGAUUUGCUACUGAAGAAACCACCUACCAUAAACAAUUAGAAAACUGAAAACAUCUAUGUAUUACCACUGUUUCCAGACCAUGGACUACAGACAGCACAAGACUAUGAUCCCUAAGAAAAAGAAAACAGAUGAGAUUUGUAUUCUCUGAUGUCUCCCCUUUCCUACACUUGGUGCUUCUCUGAUUUAAUUGUUUGGAAGCAGUCACUGGAAGCAAGGCUAUGUGACUCAGCUUUGGUGAUGCAGUCCAGCUGGGGUCUGACAGUCUGAAAUUGUGGCGCACACACCUUUGCUCCGAGCAGAGUCCCCACCACAGCUAUGAAUGUGGGGGUCUGGGAGAGAAACACCCUCUUUUGUCAGAAUGAGCACAACCCUGAAGAAAACAUCACAACCCCGAAGAAAAUUACCGACGUCUUAAGGAAAUGGUUCUGACUGAGGUCUUCCAACAUGCAAUACUAUGUGCUGACUCAGGGAAAACUUAAGGCAACAUGCUGAAAACAUUUAGAGGCCCGGAAAAUAACUGGUUUAAUAAUUCAAGAUGCUUUUAAGUUACAAAAAGAAUACUUAAAAACAAAUAAACCUCCCUUUCCAAAAGCCGUGUCGUAGAGUCGGCCACUCUUGAAAUGAAAAAAACAGAGCUUGCCAUCAAAUGCAAAUUCAGCCUCUGAAACUCCUCAACAAUGGACAAAGAACCUCCAUACCCCACACCCCUAAUCGACAGAUGGAAAUAAAUGUCUGUUUCAGGAC